rfam:Clostridium sp. CAG:411 genomic scaffold, scf252
UGAUAGCUGUGAAGCGUGAGGUUGCUUUGUCCAAGUAGAUAAAGGUUUUCCGUGGAGCGAAUGUCAAGUUAAGAAACUGGCGACAA